CACCAUCAAAACACUGUGAACUAGAUCCAAUGCCUACCUAUUUACUAAAAUCUUGUUCAAAUGAACUUCUACCGGCAGUGACAAACAUUGUUUAUUGCUCGUUGUCAGAAUCACUGGUGCCAUCUUCAUUUAAGCAAGCUAUCGUUCGACCAUUGCUGAAGAAACCUAGUCUAGAUCGCGAAGUGUUAAAAAACUACCGUCCGGUGUCAAACCUUCCGUUUUUGUCGAAGGUCUUGGAAAAAGUUGUUUCAUCUCGGCUUGAACACCACAUAGAAUCGAAUAAUCUGCAAGAAAAUCUGCAAUCUGCAUACCGAGCUCGUCAUUCUACAGAAACAGCUCUUCUACGUGUUCACCACGAUAUAGUUUCUGCACUGGACAAAAACAGUUGUGUUGUACUUCUGAUGCUCGAUCUUUCGGCCGCAUUUGAUGUUAUUGACCACAAGAUUUUACUAGAACGUCUGAACUAUUCUUUCGGAGUCUCUGAUAGCGCCUUAUCGUGGAUCGAGUCUUACUUGAAAGAUAGAACUCAGAGAGUUGCCAUUGGCACCAAACAAUCUGACGAUCUACGUCUUCAAUACGGUGUGCCUCAAGGCUCUGUUCUAGGACCAAAGUUAUACUGCAUGUACUCGAAACCUGUUGGUGAAAUAUGCAGGCGACAUAAAAUGCUUUACCACUCGUAUGCCGACGACACUCAGGCAUAUCAAGUGAUUAAACCGGAAGGUGAUUGGGACGAUCUAUCCGACCGUUUGAAAGCGUGUUUGUCAGAGAUAAGCGAUGGAUGACUGACAUCAAAUAUGCUGAAACUGAAUCAGGACAAAACAGAGCUCAUCGUCUUUGCUCCGAAACAUCGAGUCAAACAGUUAUCAAAGUAUGAGCUACCCUUCGAUGGCACUAUUUUAAGUGAUGCGAACUGUGUUAGGUAUCUGGGAGUGUUCUUUGAUAAGACAUUGAGUAUGGAACAGCAGGUAACAGCCGUCUCAAAAUCAUGUUACCACCAGAUUCGAACCAUCGGAAACAUUAGAUCGUAUAUCACCGAAAAUGCGUGUAAGACACUAGUCUGCUCUCUUGUCACCUCCAGAUUAGACUAUGGGAACGCUUUGCUAUAUAAUGUAAACUCUUCCACUAUAGCAAGACUGCAACGCGUUCAAAACACAGCAGCUAGACUUAUCACAAAAAAGGGAGUUUGACUCUAUAACACCUGUUCUGAUGCAGCUACAUUGGCUCCCCGUGCAAUACCGAUCACAUUUUAAACUUUUACUUUACGUUUUUAAGGCAUUACACGAUAAAGCACCUAAAUAUUUGGAAGAACUGAUUGUACCAUACGCUCCUUUUAGAACACUUCGGUCAGAAAAUGAAGGACUCAUAACGAAACCAAGAGAUGUCCGCACUAAAACAUACGGUGAAAGACGAUUCGACCGAGCUGGAGCUACAUUGUGGAAUGACCUACCAAUUCAUUUACGGAAAGAACAAUCGCUUCCUCGUUUUAAAAAAGGUUUGAAGACACAUAUUUUUAGACUGGCGUACUGUGAUGUGUAAGACCUGUGAUAUUUGUUUAUUAUUCUAAAAGUUUAAGUGAUAGGACCUUUUUAUUUUUAUUUUAUUUAAAUUUUUAGUUUUAAAGAUUUUAUUUAAGAGACAGUUUUAUUUAUUUUUUCUCUGUGUUUUACUGGUUAAAUUUCUACCUUAUAUUUUCUCUUAGCCAAGUGAAUAAAUCCUUUAAUGCAAAUUUUUAUAGAUUUUACUUGUGUAUAUAACGCAGGGAAUGUAAUUACUUAUAAUUUUCAUCAUUAUUUUAUUUAAUUUUUGAUUGACUGUUAUAUU
rnacentral:lncRNA from 1 species